GAUGAACGCUGGCGGCGUGCUUAAUACAUGCAAGUCGAACGGAAAGGCGCUGCUUUUGUGGGGUGCUCGAGUGGCGAACGGGUGAGUAACACGUGUGUAACCUGCCCUUGACUUUGGGAUAUCUCCUGGAGACUGGGGCUAAUACCGGAUAGGAGCUCCUGCUGCAUGGUGGUGGUUGGAAAGUUUCGGCGGUUGGGGAUGGACUCGCGGCUUAUCAGCUUGUUGGUGGAGUAGUGGCUUACCAAGGCUUUGACGGAUAGCCUGCAUGAGAGGGUUAACGGCGACAAGGGGACUGAGAGACGGCCCAGACGGCUACGGGAGGCAGCAGUGGAGAAUAUUGCGCAAUGGGCGGAAGCCUGAUGCAGCAGCGCCGCGUGCGGAAUGACGGCCUUCGGGUUGUAAACCGCUUUCGCCGGUAACGAAGCGGGAGUGACGGUAAUGGGUAAGAAAGCACCGGCUAACUAUGUG
rnacentral:rRNA from 1 species